rnacentral:rRNA from 1 species
GAUGAACGCUAGCUACAGGCUUAACACAUGCAAGUCGAGGGGCAGCACAGUGUAGCAAUACAUGGGUGGCGACCGGCGCACGGGUGCGUAACGCGUAUCCAACCUUCCCGUUACUCAGGGAUAGCCUUCCGAAAGGGAGAUUAAUACCUGAUGGUAUCAGAAUUUCGCAUGUUAUUCUGAUUAAAGAUUUAUCGGUAACGGAUGGGGAUGCGUGACAUUAGGUAGAUGGCGGGGUAACGGCCCACCAUGCCUACGAUGUCUAGGGGUUCUGAGAGGAAGGUCCCCCACACUGGAACUGAGACACGGUCCAGACUCCUACGGGAGGCAGCAGUGAGGAAUAUUGGUCAAUGGUCGGAAGACUGAACCAGCCAAGUAGCGUGAAGGAUGAAGGUUCUAUGGAUUGUAAACUUCUUUUAUACGGGAAUAAAACCACCUACGUGUAGGUGCUUGUAUGUAUCGUAUGAAUAAGCAUCGGCUAACUCCGUGCCAGCAGCCG